rnacentral:rRNA from 1 species
CCUACGGGCGGCAGCAGUGAGGAAUAUUGGUCAAUGGGCGGAAGCCUGAACCAGCCAAGUCGCGUGAGGGAUUAAGGCCCUGCGGGUCGUAAACCUCUUUUGCCGGGGAGCAGUGGUCCGGACGCGUCCGGAACGGGAGAGUACCCGGAGAAAAAGCAUCGGCUAACUCCGUGCCAGCAGCCGCGGUAAUACGGGGAGGAGAGCGUGAUCCGGAAUUAUUGGGGUUAAAGGGUGCGUAGGCGGGCAUUUAAGCCGGCGGGCAAAUGUCGGGGCUCAACCCCGGCCUGCCGGCGGAACUGGGUGCCUUGAGUGGGCGAGAAGUAUGCGGAAUGCGUGGUGUAGCGGUGAAAUGCAUAGAUAUCACGCAGAACCCCAUUGCGAAGGCAGCAUACCGGCGCCCUACUGACGCUGAGGCACGAAAGUGCGGGUAUCGAACAGGAUUAGAUACCCUUGUAGUC